rnacentral:rRNA from 1 species
UACAGAGGUCUCAAGCGUUGUUCGGAUUCAUUGGGCGUAAAGGGUGCGUAGGCGGCGCGGUAAGUCGGGUGUGAAAUCUCGGAGCUUAACUCCGAAACUGCAUUCGAUACUGCCGUGCUUGAGGACUGGAGAGGAGACUGGAAUUUACGGUGUAGCGGUGAAAUGCGUAGAUAUCGUAAGGAAGACCAGUGGCGAAGGCGGCAUCCUGGACCAACACUGACGCUGAGGAGCGAAAGCCAGGGGAGCAAACGGG